GGCUUUAUAGUCAAUUAUGACAUUAGACUGCAAUUCUAAAGGAGUACCUGAGUGUGCUAAGGCUU
rnacentral:tRNA from 1 species